rnacentral:rRNA from 1 species
CCAGGAAGGUUUUUGGAUCGUAAACCCCUUUUGUCAAGGAAGAAGCUCUGACGAUACUUGACGAAUAAGCCUCGGCUAACUCCGUGCCAGCAGCCGCGGUAAUACGGAGGAGGCAAGCGUUAUCCGGAAUGAUUGGGCGUAAAGCGUCUGUAGGUGGCCAGCUAAGUCUGCUGUUAAAGAUCACAGCUCAACUGUGGGAAGGCAGUGGAAACUGGCAAGCUAGAGGUUGGUAGGGGUAAAGGGAAUUCCCGGUGUAGCGGUGAAAUGCGUAGAUAUCGGGAAGAACACCGGUGGCGAAAGCGCUUUACUGGGCCAGACCUGACACUGAAGGACGAAAGCUAGGGGAGCGAAAGGGAUUAGAUACCCCUGUAGUCAAG